UGGUUCUCGCAACGAUGAAGAACGCAGCGAAAUGCGAUAAGUAAUGUGAAUUGCAGAUUUUCGUGAAUCAUUAAAUCUUUGAACGCAACUUGCGCCCUUUGGUAUUCCGGAGGGCAUAUCUGUUUGAGAAUCAGUUUAACCCUCACACUCUAACAAGUGUGGAAAUGAGAUUUCUCCUUAAAACCGAGUAUCUUUAAACUGAUUACCAACACUUGUUUAUCAAUACUUUUGUUAAACGGCAAGAUUACUGGAUGGUUUUAACCGUUCUUUACUUUGCUUACUAGACAGUUGAGGCGAUUACAUUUAAGUUGGCUAAAAAAAAGUUAUACGAAAGUCCUUUUUUGAAAAAAAAAGGCUUUUAAGACUUGGUCUCAAAUCAGAUAAGACUACCCGCUGA
rnacentral:misc_RNA from 1 species